GCCUGGAAAGCCUCGAGCUGGAUCGACCCUCCGCGUUGAAACUGCGAGCUGGAUCGGCCGACCGCACACACACACAUCGCAAAGGCGGGGGCCAGGGAAAGCAGGGGAGCACUGUCUGAAAUUCACACCCACGAUGAAGAGGAAGGUAAAAGAUGACUGCAAGACGACGAAUGAUAUCAUUCUGCUGCUGUUUAAAAAAAGAAUAUUCACAAACUUAGUCUUUGCAUAAAAGGAGAAGAACAGACAUAAAGGAUUAUGGGCAGCAGCAAUGUCGGCGGCCAAGGCGAUGGACGUUCCCAUCGACCAUAUUCUCGCAGCCGCUGGAUGGUCAAAUGAAUUGUUUUUUCAACAUUUUUACCAUCAGCCGAUUGCCGAUCGGGGGCUGUUUGCUAAUUCUAUAUUAAGUUCUGUUUAAGUUUCCACCUGGGAUAGAGGGGUUACUGUUUGUUUUUGAUUAUUCAAAUAAAUUGUUACUGCAUUAUAUUCAAUUUUGUGCUUACCGCAUUAUUGACAUUUCUCAUCUGGAGUCAAUCCAUGCAGUGAGAAGCCGAGAUUUGAAUCUGCGGCAAGAAAUCACAGAGCUUUGAACUCUUCACAGAAUCACUCACGUGACUCAGAAGUAAAAUAGUAAGAUUAAAUGAGAACUUACCAGUUUGAAGUUUGAUCUUUAUUUUAUGAGGAGUUACGUUGGUGAUUACGUGCCCACCCCGCCCAACCC